rnacentral:lncRNA from 1 species
UCCCACCCCUACCCCACGUAACCACCCCUCCCUCACGUUUCUUCUCCAAAAAGAAAGAAAAAAAAAACUAACAGAAAAGGAAGUCAAAUUUUUUUAUUUUUUUUUUCAAUUGCACAAAAGAGGGACCCAUACACAUACUAGACUACAAAAAAAAAGAAAAAUACACUAAGGGGAGCUGCUUUUCUUCUGGACGAAGGGAUACACCCAGAAGCUCCCUUUUUGGAGAUUUUUUUUCGGAUAGACUUCUCACAAAAUGCUCUGCUUCUCCAACAAUACUCCAUAAACAAUAUACACAGACCAAUCAUAAAUUCCCCAUGAUCUUCCAUUUUUCUACGCAUAGAAACAGAGAGGGAGAGAGACGGAAAGGAUGAGAGAGACACUGAAAGAGAAGAAGUCGACUGUAGAUCAAGUUUUCCGGUCACUCUUCACCAAAAAAACACUUCCCUAGCUCUGAUUUAACUUCAAAAUCCAUCAAUAACUCGAUCUAAACCAUCUCCAUUACUGAAAACCAAGGUCGAGUAGUUUUAAACCAAUCUGAAAUCGUCCUGUUUUGGGUUGAUUCCGAUCAUUUCGAGUUUGAUUUCGUCAUAUGCAGGGUCAACUUUGGUCUGUUCGGUUUAAUUCUGGUCAGUUCGGUUUAGUUUCAGCUCGUCGGGGGGUUUGUGUUGAAUACUCUCAAGUCGUUUUCAUGGAUUUUGGUAUUUGAAUCGGAAUGCGAAUUCAGGUUUUGUACCGAAUUGGUUCGUCGUUGAGGUUCUCUAUUCGAGAUUCCAAGUCCGGGUUCUCUUAAACAUUAUUAUUAUCAACGAAUCUGUUCUUCAAAGGUCCAUCUCUUGACUCUACUCUUUUAUCUCGAAAUUGGUUAAUGUCAUAAGUUUAUGGUGUGGCUUUGAAUAUUUUGAGCAAAAUAUUAAUUGUGGGUGUGGAUGACUUGUAUGCCUAAGUUCGAAUCUUCGUUGGAUGUAUAUGUUUGAAGUUGAUUUUAGAUUUUUGAAAAGUGGUUUGAUAAUCGAAAAAUUUGUUAACCAUGGCUUGAGGAUUAAACUUGUUGAUUUGGGGGUCGGGAUUGAAAAUUGAUAAUCAAAUAAGUUGAAGGUUGUUUGUUUUGAUUCAUUACUGACUAUUGUCGAAUUGGAUAGUAUCAUGAUAGGUCAAGUGGGUAGGCAAUCGUAGGUUUGGGUAGGCAAAAUUUAGAAAUAAAUGUUUCGUUGGAUGUUUAAAUGUGGAGUAUGUGUUGAAUGCUUUCUACUUUAUCGCAUUCGAUGCAAAUAUAUUUAUUUAGCCGGGGAAUGCCCUGACGUAUCAUGUUGGCGGAAAAUGAUCGUGAUGAAGGCCCGCGGCAUCGGGUAAGGUAUUGGAGCUUAGUCUAGAUUUAGUUUAGAAUAGGAUUUAUAUUUUCGUAUUUUUCUAUUUUUGGACUGGACUUUACAUUUUUGGAUUGUUUUGUUUUGUUUAUUGUUUGAUUAUUUUGCGUGCUUUUGUGUGGUUUAUACAUUUCUUAAUGUCAAUCUAGCCGAUACGCUCUGCCAAGCGACCGUGGUCAAACCACGGGGUCGAGGAGUGCCUAACACCUUCCCCUCG